rnacentral:lncRNA from 1 species
GUUCUUGGCAGUCAAGCUUCCUCUGAGACCCUGAAAUCCUGGUGUGACCAAGCUACCAAGGUAGACCAGCGCCGACCUGAAGGAACCCGAGCAGCUGGUCAGGCACAGCUUUACUAGUUAUCAUAUUGCCUAUGGCUAUUUCACGUUCCAGAACUGUAAGCUUACGAAAGAGAUGCUAUGAAGCACAACGGGCCAAGCAAAUUUAACAGUCACUCAUUUAUGGAAAAGUUGGCUGACACUCCUUGGGAGGAAUUUAAUUUCAAAGAGGUCUGCAGAGAUUGCUGAACAAAUACAACAAAGGGUGCAGUAAUAACGGCACUAAGAGAGAGGUGCCAUCAAAUGCCUAGGACUGCAAAAACCCUGAGCUUUCAUCUCCACAAACAUACCCUAAAGACUCUCAUAGAUUCAUCACAAACCAUGAAGAAGAAGAAGAAGAAGAAGAAGAAGAAGAAGAAGAAGAAGAAGAAGAAGAAGAGGAAGAGGAAGAGGAAGAGGAAGAGGAAGAGGAAGAGGAGGAAGAGGAGGAGGAAGAGGAGGAAGAGGAAGAGGAAGAGGAAGAGGGAGAAGGAGAAGAAGAAGAAGAAGAAGAAGAAGAAGAAGAAGCUCAACUCAGUGCCAUUCUCUGUCUCAGCCAUGUGGGUGUAACAGGUAACAAAGCCUGGAGACUUUCUCUCUUGGUGGAAUUUACAUGAUAACUGAGGAUAACAGAAGAUGACACUAUAAAGAAGGGUAUACUGAGUUACAAACAGGGACACGUUUCCCACCACUGGACUUGAAAAAUAUUGGUAGCAAACUGGCAAAGGGGUACAAAAUGAUUUGCAGCAUAGUUGACUGUUUAUUGUGCUUCUCACACCUUCAAGAGGGACCCGAAAGAUCACAUUCAGAUCAGCCUGCUUUGCUGUUCAUCUGUGGGAACAGAAGACAUCCUCACAGAAGAUCUCUCUCUCUCUGAAUAAAGCAUAACAGCAAAUUUCCAAAAUAUUAAAUAUCAGUUUAACUAAUUGUAGAUAUCUCAAGAAUAUACUCUAUUAUGCAAAGAUAUGGAUGGAUAAGAUAUGACUGGGGUAUGGAAUACCCAAGAUACAGUCCACAGAACUCAAAAAGGUCAACAAGCCGAAAUG